AGGGCAGACGUUGGCAAGGAUAUUUAUUAGCCCCAUGCUAAAGAGCCAGGAUGGAUGGGACAUCUUUAGGAAGGAGGUCCAGCUCAAGGAGCAGAUCUUCCUGAGACCAUGCCCAGUUGUCCUGGAUGGUUCUCACGAAUCAUGGAGAAUUUCAUUUUAUGGCUGAGCCAGUUUUCCUGGGAGAGGCAACAGGCACAGAUCUGCAUGGUGUACUUUAGGUGUACAACAGAAGUGGAGCAAGCUUGAAGGUUUUCCUUGGAGAAUACUUUCUUGAAAGCAAUGCUGCUUCUGGAGAAAACCAGAGUAGAAUCCAG